AUACAAACGCGGCCACUAUAUUGCGUCCCCGUUGCAGACUUUCGGCUUUGAGAAGCUGGGCAAAGAUUUGGGGGAAGUCGCCCAUUAACUGCGGCAUCCCAGCAGAUCCCAAAUGCUGCGCAGAAACUCAGGGUGGAACAGAGGAAAGUGAAAAUGGGGAAAACGUUUAAGGAAGAUAUUUCGCCGGGAAUUCGCACGCCUAUUUAAACGAAGAGUCUUUCCUUCCCAAAGUAAGGGGGAACCUCACUCACUCCCUGUGUUGCAGCCUCCUUACCCAUGACCUGAUACUCCUUAUUUUUGCCUCCAGAAUCUGGAAUCUGAGUAAUCCAGCAAAGAAAUUCAGAACCGAAGGUAAUGCCAGCCAUGUCUACUUUGCCAGAGUUGUGGUUUUACACAAAGAUAUCAAUGUGACAGUGGUAGGAGGAGGUUUGUUUACACAUUAAUUAGUGAGCAAAGGCAUCCCUAUGAAGAGAAAAAAGCAGCAGCACUGAUCCACAAACGUUUGUGUACAGGAGGAUGCAGUUUAUAGCCUUGGGAAAAUUGUACAGCAGGUUAGGAGGUGGAUAUUUAACUCACAUAAUACAAUUGUUUUUGUUAAGAUCUUCAAAAAACCCUGCCGGUUUCAUUGUUUGAUGUAUGGAUGGAUAGCACGCUUGCUGCUUAAAUGAAAUAAAUGGUAGCAUUUCAGCUUCCAAGGCUUGACAUAAAUGGGGUAGUAAACUUAAGCAUACUCAAAUGUAGAGUGCCUUGAUGGUAGGAUAAAUAGAACAGAUAGACAUAAAACUUUUAAUAAAAAAUAUAUGUCUCAAAAAUAGCAGUGAACAUAAAAUCUAACCUUAUUAAAUCAUUUUAAUACUACCGCAGUAAA